GCCCAGACUCCUACGGGAGGCAGCAGUGGGGGAUAUUGCACAAUGGGGGAAACCCUGAUGCAGCGACGCCGCGUGGGUGAAGAAGCGCCUCGGCGCGUAAAGCCCUGUCAGCAAGGAAGAAAAUGACGGUACCUGAAGAAGAAGCCCCGGCUAACUACGUGCCAGCAGCCGCGGUAAUACGUAGGGGGCAAGCGUUAUCCGGAUUUACUGGGUGUAAAGGGGGCGCAGACGGCGAUGCAAGCCAGGAGUGAAAGCCCGGGGCCCAACCCCGGGACUGCUCUUGGAACCUGCCGGGCUAGAGUGCAGGAGGGGCAGGCGGAAUUCCUAGUGUAGCGGUGAAAUGCGUAGAUAUUAGGAGGAACACCAGUGGCGAAGGCGGCCUGCUGGACUGCAACUGACGUUGAGGCUCGAAGGCGUGGGGAGCAAACAGGAUUAGAUACCCGCGUACC
rnacentral:rRNA from 1 species